rnacentral:rRNA from 1 species
UACAGAGGGUGCAAGCGUUUGUUCGGAAUUAUUGGGCGUAAAGCGCGUGUAGGCGGCUUUGCAAGUCGGGUGUGAAAGCCCUCAGCUCAACUGAGGAAGUGCGCCCGAAACUGCAGAGCUUGAGUACCGGAGAGGAUGGCGGAAUUCCCCAAGUAGAGGUGAAAUUCGUAGAUAUGGGGGAGGAACACCGGUGGCGAAGGCGGCCAUCUGGACGGAUACUGACGCUGAGACGCGAAAGCGUGGGGAGCAAACAGG